rnacentral:lncRNA from 1 species
CGUGUUCAUACUUGUAGCUAUGCCGUCCAAGGGUCCGCUGCAGUCCGUUCAAGUCUUCGGACGCAAGAAAACAGCCACAGCUGUGGCCCACUGCAAACGAGGAAAUGGGCUCAUCAAGGUGAAUGGACGUCCCCUGGAGAUGAUCGAGCCGCGCACGCUGCAGUACAAGAAGUACAAGUUUACAGACUCAUGUGUAUGAUAACCUAGCUCCUUGGAUAAUAGCAUACUACUAGUUACAAGUCUAACGUGCAGUUUGGGUCACCAUGGAGCUACAGUGUGAAACACUGCAAAGUAAUAAAAGUUACUGGAGCCUGUUCUGCUUCUGGGCAAGGAGAGAUUUGCUGGUGUGGAUAUCCGGGUCCGUGUGAAGGGUGGUGGUCAUGUGGCCCAAAUUUAUGCUAUCCGGCAGUCUAUCUCAAAAGCUCUGGUGGCUUAUUACCAAAAAUAUGUGGAUGAAGCCUCUAAGAAGGAGAUCAAAGAUAUCCUCAUCCAGUACGAUCGGACCCUGCUUGUAGCUGACCCCCGUCGCUGCGAAUCCAAGAAGUUUGGCGGUCCCGGUGCCCGUGCCCGGUACCAGAAAUCCUACCGAUAAGCCAGUCUCAAGGAUCAGGGUUUACCUUUGUAAUAAACAUCCUGGGACUUUA